rnacentral:tRNA from 1 species
GCCGGGGUGCCCGAGCGGUCUAAGGGGGAGGGCUCGAGACCCUCUGCCCCCUACGGGGCGCGCGGGUUCGAAUCCCGCCCCCGGCGCCA